rnacentral:misc_RNA from 1 species
GAUGAAGAACGCAGCGAAAUGCGAUAAGUAGUGUGAAUUGCAGAAUUCAGUGAAUCAUCGAAUCUUUGAACGCACAUUGUGCCCCUUGGUAUUCCAUGGGGCAUGCCUGUUCGAGCGUCAUUUGUACCUUCAAGCUUUGCUUGGUGUUGGGUGUUUGUCUCGCCUCUGCGUGUAGACUCGCCUUAAAACAAUUGGCAGCCGGCGUAUUGAUUUCGGAGCACAGUACAUCUCGCGCUUUGCACUCAUAACGACGACGUCCAAAAGUACAUUUUUACACUCUUGACCUCGGAUCAGGUAGGGAUACCCGCUGAACUUAAGCAUAUCAAUAAGCGGAGGA